UUAUGGCUCAGGACGAACGCUGGCGGCGUGCCUAAUACAUGCAAGUCGAACGGUCUUUCUAUGGAAGCUUGCUUCCACUGAGAAGAUAGUGGCGAACGGGUGAGUAACACGUGGGUAACCUGCCCAUAAGAGGGGGAUAACAUCCGGAAACGGGUGCUAAUACCGCAUAGUUUUCUUGAUCGCAUGAUUGAGAAAGGAAAGACGGCCUUUGUGCUGUCGCUUAUGGAUGGACCCGCGGCGUAUUAGUUAGUUGGUGAGGUAACGGCUCACCAAGACGAUGAUACGUAGCCGACCUGAGAGGGUGAUCGGCCACAUUGGGACUGAGACACGGCCCAAACUCCUACGGGAGGCAGCAGUAGGGAAUCUUCCGCAAUGGACGAAAGUCUGACGGAGCAACGCCGCGUGAGUGAAAGAAGGUUUUCGGAUCGUAAAACUCUGUUGUCAGAGAAGAACAAGUUGGAGAGUAACUGCUCCAGCCUUGACGGUAUCUGACCAGAAAGCCACGGCUAACUACGUGCCAGCCGCGGC
rnacentral:rRNA from 1 species